rnacentral:rRNA from 1 species
AGAGUUUGAUCCUGGCUCAGGACGAACGCUGGCGGCGCGCCUAACACAUGCAAGUCGAACGGAGCAUUGAGAGCUUGCUUUCAAUGCUUAGUGGCGGACGGGUGAGUAACGCGUGGGUAACCUGCCUCAUACAGGGGGAUAACAGUUAGAAAUGACUGCUAAUACCGCAUAAGCGCACGGAAGCGCAUGCUUCUGUGUGAAAAACUCCGGUGGUAUGAGAUGGACCUGCGUCUGAUUAGCUAGUUGGUGAGAUAACAGCCCACCAAGGCGACGAUCAGUAGCCGGCCUGAGAGGGUGGACGGCCACAUUGGGACUGAGACACGGCCCAGACUCCUACGGGAGGCAGCAGUGGGGAAUAUUGCACAAUGGGGGAAACCCUGAUGCAGCGACGCCGCGUGAGCGAAGAAGUAUCUCGGUAUGUAAAGCUCUAUCAGCAGGGAAGAAGAUGACGGUACCUGACUAAGAAGCCCCGG